rnacentral:rRNA from 1 species
UAUACGACCGUACCGCAAACCGACACUGGUGCGCGAGAUGAGUAUUCUAAGGCGCUUGAGAGAACUCAGGAGAAGGAACUCGGCAAAUUGACACCGUAACUUCGGAAGAAGGUGUGCCCUAUUAGUGUGUAGUGAACAACGAAGCAUGAAUGGGUUGCAAAAAAUCGGUGGCUGCGACUGUUUAUUAAAAACACAGCACUCUGCAAACACGAAAGUGGACGUAUAGGGUGUGACGCCUGCCCGGUGCUGGAAGAUUAAAUGAUGGGGUGCAAGCUCUUGAUUGAAGUCCCAGUAAACGGCGGCCGUAACAAUAACGGUCCUAAGGUAGCGAAAUUCCUUGUCGGGUAAGUUCCGACCUGCACGAAUGGCGUAACGAUGGCCACACUGUCUCCUCCUGAGACUCAGCGAAGUUGAAAUGUUUGUGAUGAUGCAAUCUCCCCGCGGAAAGACGGAAAGACCCCAUGAACCUUUACUGUAGCUUUGUAUUGGACUUUGAACAGAUCUGUGUAGGAUAGGUGGGAGGCUUUGAAGCAGGGUCGCUAGAUCUUGUGGAGCCAACGUUGAAAUACCACCCUGGUGUGUUUGAGGUUCUAACCUAGGUCCAUUAUCUGGAUCGGGGACAGUGCAUGGUAGGCAGUUUGACUGGGGCGGUCUCCUCCCAAAGCGUAACGGAGGAGUUCGAAGGUACGCUAGUUACGGUCGGACAUCGUGACGAUAGUGCAAUGGCAUAAGCGUGCUUAACUGCGAGACUGACAAGUCGAGCAGAUGCGAAAGCAGGACAUAGUGAUCCGGUGGUUCUGUAUGGAAGGCCAUCGCUCAACGGAUAAAAGGUACUCUGGGGAUAACAGGCUGAUACCGCCCAAGAGUUCAUAUCGACGGCGGUGUUUGGCACCUCGAUGUCGGCUCAUCUCAUCCUGGGGCUGUAGCCGGUCCCAAGGGUAUGGCUGUUCGCCAUUUAAAGAGGUACGUGAGCUGGGUUUAAAACGUCGUGAGACAGUUUGGUCCCUAUCUUCCGUGGGCGCUGCAGAUUUGAGGAAGCCUGCUCCUAGUACGAGAGGACCGGAGUGGACACACCUCUGGUGUAUCGGUUGUCACGCCAGUGGCAUUGCCGAGUAGCUAAGUGUGGAAGAGAUAACCGCUGAAAGCAUCUAAGCGGGAAACUCGUUUCAAGAUGAGAUCUGCCGGGGCCUUGAGCCCCCUAAAGAGUCGUUCAAGACCAGGACGUUGAUAGGUCAGGUGUGGAAGUG